rnacentral:piRNA from 1 species
AAAGACAUGGGUUGAGUCCUACCAUUCC